rnacentral:rRNA from 1 species
UAGGGAAUCUUCCGCAAUGGACGAAAGUCUGACGGAGCAACGCCGCGUGAGCGAAGAAGGUCUUCGGAUCGUAAAGCUCUGUUGUCAGGGAAGAACAAGUACCGUUCGAACAGGGCGGUACCUUGACGGUACCUGACGAGGAAGCCACGGCUAACUACGUGCCAGCAGCCGCGGUAAUACGUAGGUGGCAAGCGUUGUCCGGAAUUAUUGGGCGUAAAGCGCGCGCAGGCGGUUCCUUAAGUCUGAUGUGAAAUCUCGCGGCUCAACCGCGAGCGGCCAUUGGAAACUGGGGAACUUGAGUGCAGGAGAGGGGAGCGGAAUUCCACGUGUAGCGGUGAAAUGCGUAGAGAUGUGGAGGAACACCAGUGGCGAAGGCGGCUCUCUGGUCUGUAACUGACGCUGAGGCGCGAAAGCGUGGGGAGCAAACAGG